rnacentral:lncRNA from 1 species
UGAGAUUAGAGAGAUAUAAGGUGUUUUGCAAAAUUGCAAGUGUGAGGUAGCAUGUACAAUCCAUACGUGAACAGUGCCAUGUUGAGGUGUAAAUCCACUUAAAAUCAUUCAACAAUCAUGAUGGAAGUGUUAAUUGACUUGUAUCUUGAACCAAAUUCAAAUUAUGAAUUUUCCCUCCAAAAUGCACAUGUGUGAACAAGUGGUCAUGUGAUC